rnacentral:rRNA from 1 species
UAAUACGUAGNUCCCGAGCGUUGUCCGGAUUUAUUGGGCGCAAAGGGAGCGCAGGCGGUCAGGAAAGUNUGGAGUAAAAGGCUAUGGCUCANCCAUAGUGUGCUCUGGAAACUGUNUGACUUGAGUGCAGAAGGGGAGAGUGGAAUUCCAUGUGUAGCGGUGAAAUGCGUAGAUAUAUGGAGGAACACCAGUGGCGAAAGCGGCUCUCUGGUCUGUCACUGACGCUGAGGCUCGAAAGCGUGGGUAGCGAACAGGAUUAGAUACCCUGGUAGUCCACGCCGGAAACGAUGAGUGCUAGGUGUUAGGCCCUUUCCGGGGCUUAGUGCCGGAGCUAACGCAAUAAGCACUCCGCCUGGGGAGUACGACCGCAAGGUUGAAACUCAAAGGAAUUGACGGGGGCCCGCACAAGCGGUGGAGCAUGUGGUUUAAUUCGAAGCAACGCGAAGAACCUUACCAGGUCUUGACAUCCCGAUGCUAUUCUUAGAGAUAGGAAGUUACUUCGGUACAUCGGAGACAGGUGGUGCAUGGUUGUCGUCAGCUCGUGUCGUGAGAUGUUGGGUUAAGUCCCGCAACGAGCGCAACCCUUAUUGUUAGUUGCCAUCAUUAAGUUGGGCACUCUAGCGAGACUGCCGGUAAUAAACCGGAGGAAGGUGGGGAUGACGUCAAAUCAUCAUGCCCCUUAUGACCUGGGCUACACACGUGCUACAAUGGUCGGUACAACGAGUUGCGAGCCGGUGACGGCAAGCUAAUCUCUGAAAGCCGAUCUCAGUUCGGAUUGGAGGCUGCAACUCGCCUCCAUGAAGUCGGAAUCGCUAGUAAUCGCGGAUCAGCACGCCGCGGUGAAUACGUUCCCGGGCCUUGUACACACCGCCCGUCACACCACGAGAGUUUGUAACACCCGAAGUCGGUGAGGUAACCUUUUAGGGGCCAGCC